rnacentral:rRNA from 1 species
UCCGGUUGAUCCUGCCGGACCUGACUGCUAUCGGAUUGAUACUAAGCCAUGCGAGUCAUUGUAGCAAUACAAGGCAGACGGCUCAGUAACGCGUAGUCAACCUACCCUAUGGACGGGAAUAACCUCGGGAAACUGAGUAUAAUGCCCGAUAGAACACUAUACCUGGAAUGGUUUGUGUUUCAAAUGAUUUAUUGCCAUAGGAUGGGACUGCGGCCUAUCAGUUUGUUGGUGAGGUAAUGGCCCACCAAGACUAUUACAGGUACGGGCUCUGAGAGGAGUGGCCCGGAGAUGGGUACUGAGACACGGACCCAGGCCCUAUGGGGCGCAGCAGGCGAGAAAACUUUGCAAUGUGCGAAAGCACGACAAGGUUAAUCCGAGUGGUUUCUGCUAAAGGAACCUUUUGACAGUCCUAGAAACACUGUUGAAUAAGGGGUGGGCAAGUUCUGGUGUCAGCCGCCGCGGUAAAACCAGCACCUCAAGUGGUCAGGAUGAUUAUUGGGCCUAAAGCAUCCGUAGCCGGCUCAGUAAGUUUUCGGUUAAAUCUGUACGCUUAACGUACAGGCUGCCGGGAAUACUGCAGAGCUAGGGAGUGGGAGAGGUAGACGGUACUCGAGAGGAAGUGGUAAAAUGCUUUGAUCUUUCGAUGACCACCUGUGGCGAAGGCGGUCUACCAGAACACGUCCGACGGUGAGGGAUGAAAGCUGGGGGAGCAAACCGGAUUAGAUACCCGGGUAGUCCCAGCUGUAAACUAUGCAAACUCAGUGAUGCAUUGGCUUGUGGCCAAUGCAGUGU